UGCAGUCGAACGAUGAAGCCUUUCGGGGUGGAUUAGUGGCGAACGGGUGAGUAACACGUGGGCAAUCUGCCCUGCACUCUGGGACAAGCCCUGGAAACGGGGUCUAAUACCGGAUGACACUCUUUCUCGCAUGGGGGAGGGUUGAAAGCUCCGGCGGUGCAGGAUGAGCCCGCGGCCUAUCAGCUUGUUGGUGGGGUGAUGGCCUACCAAGGCGACGACGGGUAGCCGGCCUGAGAGGGCGACCGGCCACACUGGGACUGAGACACGGCCCAGACUCCUACGGGAGGCAGCAGUGGGGAAUAUUGCACAAUGGGCGGAAGCCUGAUGCAGCGACGCCGCGUGAGGGAUGACGGCCUUCGGGUUGUAAACCUCUUUCAGCAGGGAAGAAGCGCAAGUGACGGUACCUGCAGAAGAAGCACCGGCUAACUACGUGCCAGCAGCCGCGGUAAUACGUAGGGUGCGAGCGUUGUCCGGAAUUAUUGGGCGUAAAGAGCUCGUAGGCGGCUUGUCGCGUCGGAUGUGAAAGCCCGGGGCUUAACCCCGGGUCUGCAUUCGAUACGGGCAGGCUAGAGUGUGGUAGGGGAGAUCGGAAUUCCUGGUGUAGCGGUGAAAUGCGCAGAUAUCAGGAGGAACACCGGUGGCGAAGGCGGAUCUCUGGGCCAUUACUGACGCUGAGGAGCGAAAGCGUGGGGAGCGAACAGGAUUAGAUACCCUGGUAGUCCACGCCGUANACGUUGGGAACUAGGUGUUGGCGACAUUCCACGUCGUCGGUGCCGCAGCUAACGCAUUAAGUUCCCCGCCCUGG
rnacentral:rRNA from 1 species